GUACUACUGAGGAGUUCCAAACUAGGACGAAGCAAGCUGUCCAGUAC
rnacentral:hammerhead_ribozyme from 1 species